UAUUCUGCCCCAUGGGGAAGGAUGAGAAGCUUCGACUAAGGUUCGACUCGAGCGAAGCGAGAGAACGUUGCCGCAGGCAACGGCCCGAAGG
rnacentral:sRNA from 1 species